UGAUAAGAAAUUCAUGUCUUUUGUAUUAAAGAAUUAAAUGGAUGAAAUAUGAAGUUUUAUUAAAAGAAAAAGGGGUGAAAAGAACAAAGUUUUGUCCAUCUUUGUUCAUCAUAGCUGAAAGUUAGAGAAGAGAAAGGAGAGGAGAAAGCUCUUGAGUAUUCGGUCAUUAGGAGGAGGAAAAUUGAAGGCAGUUCGUGUGUGUGGAUCUCGUCAGCAUAUCGUCGCAAACAGGAAAUCCCCAACCAUAGUGGGCUUGGAGCUGUGAGGGAAUUCAGAGUGGCCACCCAUUCUAAAAGUUUGAUUUUCUUCUGGUGAACUGGACAUCCUUUUAAUUACGUUUGAGGUUUUGUGAUUUUAAAUGUAAUAAGGUCGCUUAUUUAUUUUUGAUGGUUUUUAUAUGUUUUAUUAAGAUAGGUAAUAUUUAUAUUUAACUGUUGAAAUUGGAUAGCUUUAGGGCGCGUUUUCAAAAACAGUAAUUGAUUUCAAAAUAACACGAAAACAAGAAAAGCUUCCGCAAUGAAAGUAUUUUCCAAAA